CUCUUGUGUGCUGUAGGGAAGCUGAGCAAUGACUUUGCAGCAGAAAUGGCCCUCUAGAAUUAUUACCUAUCGGACCUGCAAAAUCCAUCUACUGAAGAAAACAACUGCAUUGCUCUCUCCAGAAGAAAAUGUGCCUUUGAUAUUAAAGUGUUAUGAAGGAGUACAAACGAGAGAGGAGAUCUGGCAAAUGGCACUAGCCGUGAUAAAGAAGGAAUACUACAUUUUCCUAGAGAGCAUUUACUUCCAUGAACAGGAUGUGAAACUGGCUUUCAUUUGCAAGGAUACAAUCUGCCACUUUCAUUUUGUAUCAUCAUCACCCACCAAAAGGCAAUCCUUUUCCAAGGACAAGAGUAAAAAGAAGCAGAAGAAAGGCCUGAAAGGAAUAAAAUGAAUCACAGAAUCAUAGUGAAAAUUUAUGGAAAAAAAUUAGGGUCAACAAAGUAAAAGUGGCCUAAUGAAAAGUUAGAAAGAAAAGUAUUUCUUAGAAGACCUGCAAGGAAUAAGGUAAGCAAAAAAAUGAAAGUGUAAGAUAUAGGAAAGGGUGAAAGAAACAGAGGAUAAAAAAGAGGGCAAAAUAAUCAACUGGAAAUUUUACCAUUGAUCUGGUCCAAGUUUCAGAUUUCUUUUAAAGCUUCAUCUGGGAAGAUCUGAUUCAGCCUACUUAAUUGCAGAAGAAAUGUUUCUGAGUUUUCAGUUGAGGUAGCUUUCAUUUUAAAAGAAAUGGGGGAACAUCUUUUUUCAUAUUUUUGUUAUUCAACAUUAUUUUUACAAUCCGCAUUGCACACAAUGCCCAGGCCUCUGCAAGUAAUAAUGUAUAGAUAAAUGCAAAUGAAGGCAAUUGUACUUCUACCUGGACCACUUUAUUCACAUCAUAGCUUUGUCUUUUAUCUUUAUAGACAUGAAUUUCAGAGUCAGAAUUUCAGCAUUGGAAAGGAACUCAGAG
ensembl:lncRNA